GCCGGGCGCGGUGGCACGCGCCUGUAGUCCCAGCUACUCGGGAGGCUGAGGCUGGAGGAUCGCUUGAGCUCAGGAGUUCUCGGCUGCAGUUCGCUAUGCCGAUCGGGUGUCCGCACUAAGUUCGGCAUCAAUAUGGUGACCUCCCGGGAGCGGGGGACCACCAGGUUGCCUAAGGAGGGGUGAACCGGCCCAGGUCGGAAACGGAGCAGGUCAAAACUCCCGUGCUGAUCAGUAGUGGGAUCGCGCCUGUGAAUAGCCACUGUACUCCAGCCUGGGCAACAUAGCGAGACCCUGUCUCUU
rfam:TPA: Bos taurus chromosome 3, whole genome shotgun sequence.